rnacentral:rRNA from 1 species
UACCAGCACCCCGAGUGGUCGGGACGUUUAUUGGGCCUAAAGCAUCCGUAGCCGGUUCUACAAGUCUUCCGUUAAAUCCAGCUGCUUAACAGAUGGGCUGCGGAAGAUACUAUGGAGCUAGGAGGCGGGAGAGGCAAGCGGUACUCGAUGGGUAGGGGUAAAAUCCGUUGAUCCAUUGAAGACCACCAGUGGCGAAGGCGGCUUGCCAAAACGCGCUCGACGGUGAGGGAUGAAAGCUGGGGGAGCAAACCGGG